UUUAAGCCUCCAAGUCGAGGGGCCAAGGGUAAUUCGGUUCCCCUAGAGCGGCGGACGGGUGAGAAACACGUGGAUAACCCUGCCCCCGGGGUGCGGGAUAGCGCAGGGAAACCUGGAUUAAUACCUCGUAAGACCACGCUCUGUAGGAGAGUGGGAAAAAGGCGCUUCGGCGUCGCCUGGGGAUGGGUCCGCGUCCCAUUAGCUAGAUGGUAGGGUAAGAGCCUACCAUGGCGACGAUGGGUAGCCGGCCUGAGAGGGUGAACGGCCACACUGGAACUGAGACACGGUCCAGACUCCUACGGGAGGCAGCAGCUAAGAAUCUUCCGCAAUGGGCGCAAGCCUGACGGGGCGACGCCGCGUGGGCGAGGAAGGCCGCAAGGUUGUAAAGUCCUUUUCGGGAAGGGGAAUAAGAGUGAUAGGCAAUGAUCACUUGAUGACAUGAAUCCCGGAAUAAGCCCCGGCUAACUACGUGCCAGCAGCCGCGGUAACACGUAGGGGGCGAGCGUUGUUCGGAAUCAUUGGGCGUAAAGGGCGCGCAGGCGGCGUGUAAAGUCUGGCGUGGAAGUCCCCGGCUCAACUGGGGGAUUGCGUUGGAAACUGGCACGCUUGAGUACGACAGGGGAUGGCGGAAUUCCAGGUGUAGGGGUGAAAUCUGUAGAUAUCUGGAGGAACACCAAUGGCGAAGACAGCCAUCUGGAUCAGUACUGACGCUGAGGCGCGAAGGUGCGGGGAGCAAACAGGUUUAGAUACCCUGGUAGUCCGCACAGUAAACGAUGUGCACUAGGUGUCGGGCAGUCAAUGUUCGGUACCGCAGCAAACGCGUUAAGUG
rnacentral:rRNA from 1 species